UCAGCUCUAUGGAAAAUGGCGUCGAUGCGCAGUUGCGCCAACGUUGCUUCGAGCGGCAGCCAUAGAGUUGACUAGACGCCGACGUACCUUUAAUAACAUGACAAUACGAGUCAAGGCACGCGUCUUGGUGAAUGACAAGAUAUAUACAAGUAAGCGCAACAAAGGGCGCAAAAGACUGUGGUGGAUGUUGACAAUCCACAACAAAUGUCAAAAGGCCGGUUACAAACUAAACAAUGGGCGAUUGUGUGAAUACCACAGGCCACGCUACGCCCAUAAAUCCGACAACUUCCCGAUUGCGCGCCACUAUGGCCAAUCGUCCGCCAUUAUAUAUACCUACUAUGCAUUCCCUCCUGUACACACAAAGGCGAUGGCUUGUCCUGGACCAUCAUAACGAAUGUCGAAUGAACGAGCGAGCGGCGGCGCGCGAUGACACAGCGCACCGAUCAGUGCACUUCAUUCAAGCACUCGCGAAUGUGAAUGUGAACAUUAUUGUGAGUGAAUGUAAUAACUAUGGCGCGACAUAUUCAAAUUAAUCAGCGUGAAGAUGGUUUUAUAAUCCUAAAUACAUAGUUUUAAGACAGUAUUGUUGUAUAUAUUAGUGUGUAAUAUAGUUUAGAGUUGUAAAUAUAUUUUUAAUUAGAUAAGUAGUAGGUUUUAAGGUCUAUUUAUUAAACAUGUAACGUAUUACGUUACAAUGGAAGAGUGAUAGAGAGAGAUGACUACGGUAUGCUACGGAGCGUUAACGAUUGGCACGUUGGCAAGCACCCAGGGCACGCGCUAAUGGCGACAACGGGGCAACAAACAGCUCAUGCGUAUCAUUGGGCCUAUGUCAUAAGUUUGGCUUAAUAUCUCAGAACAUGCGAGUCUUGACUCAGGACUCCUGGGGAGCCAGGUACUUGCAAAGACUGAGAUGUCGAAGGUUACUCCUGCGCUAACGGUACCAUCUGGGCACCAAACCGCUCAUGUUUACCUACCCAGGACCAAUGUCGUAAGUUUUACUUAAUGUCAAGUAACAUUUAAGUCUAGGUUAGUUACCUACCUUUAAGGUGUAAGUACUUAUAUAUGCAGUAAUGUGUGUGUGUGUCUUGACUCACUAAAUAGGCGUGAUUUACGUUCGUAAGUAGGUAGUUACUGGAUCAUUUACUAUUAAUUGAUAGGCAUAACCACUAACCGCCCUCAACGUCAUCUCAAACAUUGGUUAAAACUUUUUGCAGCUCCACGCACAUGUACCGGAGAGAAUGAAGUAUUUGACGAGUGUCCUCCAACUUGUCCUCCGACUGAAAAAUGCGAAAACUUAUGGAACAAAAAACCAUGUAACGAGCUAGAUUGUUGCACACCUCAAUGCCGGUGCAAACAUGGUUUUUACAGAAAUUACCAAAACAAAUGUAUCACCGCACAAGCAUGUAUGGCUAAAAAAGGAAGAAAGGACUCUGAGGGGCCUGAAGGACCACCGCCCGCAGAAGCACUGCAUGGAAGUGGAAAGAUUUAAUUUUAGGACUUUAUAUAAUGACAGCCUGUAAAACUAUUGGAAACCUGAAAAAUUAAAACAGUUCAAUUCAACCUAUGAACCUAUCAAUGACGAUUUUACAGAACAAAUUGCAAUUUGUUACUUUUUCAUGUAGUUAAUAGUUUUAAUCGGAACGGCACGGCCUUUAGCGGAACUUUUGGGGGAAAAAGGUUUCCCUAUACGACCAUUACCUAAGUAAGUAACGAUCAGUACCCCUAGUGUAAAUUUAUUUGACGGCGUAAUGUGACGUACGCGUUUGCGUUAAGUCUCAUUUUGUAUGGGAUUUUGAGUUUCCAAAACGUUCCGCUUGGCACGCUGUUUCUAAAUGCCAUACUAAAUGGGACUUAACGCAAACGUGUUCUUCACUUCACGAAAUCGAAUAAAUUUACACUACUCGGGGCUCAGACCAUUACUGGCACUUUGAACUACAUAGUUUAACGUGGUUUAACUAUGCCGACUGCCAUAUGGACCAUUUGUGUUCAUGUCGUUCCAUUAUUUCCUUUACCGGAUGGAUUCAUUUUGCUAGCUUUCCUGUACCUACAAAUGAACAUCAUCGAAGUAAUGUAGAGUGAAAAUUGAAACUGUAAUGCCUACCGUUUAAAUCGCUAUUUAAAUAAAAUGUGCAAAUAUUUAUUUUUAUUA